UACGUAGGGGGCUAGCGUUGUCCGGAAUUAUUGGGCGUAAAGGGCGCGUAGGCGGCUUGGCAAGUGGAUGGUGAAAUCCCUCGGCUUAACCGAGGAACUGCCAUCCAGACUGCUUUGCUUGAGGCCGGGAGAGGUGAGUGGAAUUCCCAGUGUAGCGGUGAAAUGCGUAGAUAUCGGGAGGAACACCGGUGGCGAAGGCGGCGACCUGGGUCGAUACUGACGCUGAUGCGCGAAAGCGUGGGGAGCAAACAGG
rnacentral:rRNA from 1 species